AAAAUAAGAUGAUUAAAGGCAAGACGGAGGCUGACUGACAUACUUUAAAAUAUAUUUCAGCAUUUUGUUAAUCGACGGCCUACCCCUGAGUACCCCAAUCUGAUCGCGGCUCUCCCGGGGUUAGUUCUAAGGAGGGAACCUCAACGGGCUUGCCGGAGAUCUCCAAGGAAAAGGAAGCCAGCACCUCAAACUCCACUGAGGACACAUUUCACAGUACAUCACAACAGAGUGACUCUACCUAUGAAGAACAUGAUAUGGGCGACCAUGGAGAGGAGCUGAGAACUCUGCAGGACGCAUUAGCCAAUCACAAGCAGGACGUCAUAAAUCUGAAGUUUUACUCAAGUCAAAGGAUGGCCAACUCCAUCAUCUUCAAAAGGAACUUCAGUAUGCACACACCUCAGAUGCUUUAAACCCUAAGAUUUUAAACCAAAGCCAUGUACCUGAUUAUUUCCACUACUGCACAGGGUUUUCUUAUGAGCAAUUACACUGCUUGUGUCAAUUUUUUAACAUUCCAACUGAUCCAAGUGCACCACAAACACACAUUCCUCUCUCAUACAAACGUGUC